CUGCAGGCAGCCACAUCAGAUCGCCAGGUAUGAUUUCCACAGCCAAUGGAAACCCAACUGACAAGAUACAACCUCACCUGCUUUUUUUACCAGCAAAAAAACUCACCUUUUUUUCUAAUAUCCGUCUGCGAGAUCGCUAGUGCCCAAGAGCCUGCCCCGGCAUAUGAGCCGCCGCGCCCACCCUGAACGUCCCCUGAACCAGCCGACCACAUGCAGUUGUAAUUCUUCCCUGCACUUCUUCAGGUCCUAACAUCCAAAUUUCUAGGGUUAAGAUACCCCAACUCAGCAGAAUACGUGAUCCAGAUUGCACAAUCAAAGAUGUUGGGAGGAGAAGUUGUCCUAGAGGUAGGUAAAUAAGGACAUGUCUGACACUGAAGCUGCCAAGUGAGCCACUGAUUCUGACACUGCAACGCUUAUCCCAAACACAAAUAGUGGGAGCUUAGAAGGUUCAAGCAGCAAAGGCCACAAAGACCACCUGGUUCAGAGACAACGGCGAGGUUGUUCGAUUCACUGGCAAGGAAGAGAGGGACAAUGAAGUGCUGACCAAGGUGGAGCUGAAAGAGCUCUGGGAGCAACUCAAUCACCAGGGUUUCGACAACCGUCACCAAACAUGCAUCGACAUGGUUGACAAAAUGCUGAGGGAAGAAUCACAUCCGAGGAUGUUAAGGAGCAAACAAACUUUCAAAUAUCAAGGAGCGAGCGUAUGAGUACACAGUCCUCGUCAGCAAGAAUUUGACCCUAACGAUUUGGGCUACAUAGAGGUAUGUGUAUGUCCAAGCGAAGCCUCGCCAUCUCGACAGGCGAUGUCUCACCAGGAAAAAUAUGAACAGAAGUCAAGGCAAAAGCAUCGGAUACCAACCAGCGUGGUGACUGUGUAGUUCCUCUUGCCUUCCACAAGCCGGCGUGCAUGUAGCAGUCAGCCUGCGCGGUCUCCCUUGGCACAAAGAUAGCGAGGCCGGCAACGUCGUCGGUGAGGAAGUUGGGGAUGUUGGUGACGCGGGUGCGGCGCUCCCGGUACUUGGGAGGUCGACGUAGUCCGUCCCCACAGAGAAGGACGGCGGCACAUCGAUGCGGCAUCGGGGUUGCCAAUGAGGGGCCGAUGGCGGAGGCGUUGGCGCGAAGGAACUAGGCGUGCCCAUCGGGUAGGGAGUCCCAGUAGCGGAAGAGGCGGAAGCGAAGGUCGAGAUCCUGCUCUAGGUGAGCGUUCCUCCGGAGCAGCAGCAGUAGCACGCCCAGGGUCGCCAUCGCCGGCCGUCGGGAGGACCGAGGACGGCAGCGGCUGGCUGUUUGUGUGGUGGGUGGUGGCGCUCUGCGCCGGCCUUUUUGCUAGCGUUUUAUUUUUCUUUUGAUUUUCUAGGAGCAGUGGGGAGACAAUGAAAUGAUAAGGUUUGGUGAUGUGUGAGGUGUAAGAGGGAGGCACGAGGCAAAGAGCGUCGGUGUGUCCAGUUCUUUCUUCCCUUUUUCUUUCUUUAUCGAUGGCUCUUUAGUCAAGUACUAUUCUGUAAACUAAUAUAAGACAUUUUAGAUUUACAGAGGGAGUAACAAUUAAGUAA